rnacentral:rRNA from 1 species
UUAAUUGAAGAGUUUGAUCAUGGCUCAGAUUGAACGCUGGCGGCAGGCCUAACACAUGCAAGUCGAACGGUAACAGGAAGCAGCUUGCUGCUUCUCUGACGAGUGGCGGACGGGUGAGUAAUGUCUGGGAAACUGCCUGAUGGAGGGGGAUAACUACUGGAAACGGUAGCUAAUACCGCAUAACGUCGCAAGACCAAAGAGGGGGACCUUCGGGCCUCUUGCCAUCGGAUGUGCCCAGAUGGGAUUAGCUUGUUGGUGGGGUAACGGCUCACC